AUUUCAAUUAACUAACGAUCAAUUAUUAGAACUGGUUAAGAAAGUGUCGCGAUAAAGCCCAGUGACUUCCCGCACUAAAUAAUUCAUUAUCUGACUUUCCUGCCCGCAAUGUCAAGGACAUUGUCGCAUUGUCGUUGCCAUCCGCUCGGCUGAAGCUAAUUUCAUUGAGAAGGAAAACGAGGGGAUCCUGCCAGAAGGCUGGCGGCGCCCAACGGUGGGAAUUUCAUCAGCUGUUGUUGUUGUUGUUUAUUUCGCAGAAGCAGUCGGCCUAAUAAAAAUGCAAUUUUUAUGGUUAAGAAAAUAGAGCGCGGCCGCCGUUGUGUUGCACAUUGGAAAUUGUGCAGAAGCCAGAAGAAAAUGUGUCUUGGAAAAUGGAAAAGCACAAGUAGCAGCAGCAGCAGCAGCAAUAACAUUGAGCCAGUGAUGUAAUACAGAGCAAAAGUGAAGCGGCAAUUGGCAUUGCAAAAAAAGAAACAGAUUAUACAAUUUGUGUUGCUGCCGCACUGAACUAGGACAACAGCAGCAACAACAGCAACACUUGCAGCAGCAGCAGCAACAAGAACAACCACU
rnacentral:sRNA from 1 species